rnacentral:rRNA from 1 species
GACGAACGCUGGCGGCGUGCCUAAUACAUGCAAGUAGAACGCUGAAGGAGGAGCUUGCUCUUCUGGAUGAGUUGCGAACGGGUGAGUAACGCGUAGGUAACCUGCCUGGUAGCGGGGGAUAACUAUUGGAAACGAUAGCUAAUACCGCAUAACAGUAGAUGUUGCAUGACAUUUACUUAAAAGGUGCAAUUGCAUCACUACCAGAUGGACCUGCGUUGUAUUAGCUAGUUGGUGGGGUAACGGCUCACCAAGGCGACGAUACAUAGCCGACCUGAGAGGGUGAUCGGCCACACUGGGACUGAGACACGGCCCAGACUCCUACGGGAGGCAGCAGUAGUGAAUCUUCGGCAAUGGACGGAAGUCUGACCGAGCAACGCCGCGUGAGUGAAGAAGGUUUUCGGAUCGUAAAGCUCUGUUGUAAGAGAAGAACGAGUGUGAGAGUGGAAAGUUCACACUGUGACGGUAUCUUACCAGAAAGGGACGGCUAACUACGUG